rnacentral:rRNA from 1 species
UACGUAGGGAGCAAACGUUGUUCGGAAUUACUGGGCGUAAAGGGCGCGUAGGCGGCCUUCUCAGUCGGGUGUGAAAGCCCGGGGCUCAACCCCGGAACGGCACCCGAGACGGGAAGGCUGGAGACCGGGAGAGGAGGGUGGAAUAGCCAGUGUAGAGGUGAAAUUCGUAGAUAUUGGCUGGAACACCGGUGGCGAAAGCGGCUCUCUGGCCCGGUUCUGACGCUGAGGCGCGAAAGCGUGGGGAGCAAACAGG